rnacentral:rRNA from 1 species
UNUGAUGUGAAAGCCCCCGGCUCANCCGGGGAGGGUCAUUGGAGACUGGGGAACUUGAGUGCAGAAGAGGAGAGUGGAAUUCCAUGUGUAGCGGUGAAAUGCGUAGAUAUAUGGAGGANCACCAGUGGCGAAGGCGACUCUCUGGUCUGUAACUGACGCUGAGGCUNGAAAGCGUGGGUAGCAAACAGGAUUAGAUACCCUGGUAGUCCACGCCGUAAACGAUGAGUGCUAAGUGUUGGAGGGUUUCCGCCCUUCAGUGCUGCAGUUAACGCAUUAAGCACUCCGCCUGGGGAGUACGACCGCAAGGUUGAAACUCAAAGGAAUUGACGGGGACCCGCGCAAGCGGUGGAGCAUGUGGUUUAAUUCGAAGCAACGCGAAGAACCUUACCAAGUCUUGACAUCCUUUGGCCACUCUAGAGAUAGAGCUUUCCCUUCGGGGACAAAGUGACAGGUGGUGCAUGGUUGUCGUCAGCUCGUGUCGUGAGAUGUUGGGUUAAGUCCCGCAACGAGCGCAACCCUUAUUACUAGUUGCCAGCAUUGAGUUGGGCACUCUAGUGAGACUGCCGGUGACAAACCGGAGGAAGGUGGGGAUGACGUCAAAUCAUCAUGCCCCUUAUGACUUGGGCUACACACGUGCUACAAUGGAUGGUACAACGAGCAGCGAACUCGCGAGGGUAAGCGAAUCUCUUAAAGCCAUUCUCAGUUCGGAUUGUAGGCUGCAACUCGCCUACAUGAAGCCGGAAUCGCUAGUAAUCGCGGAUCAGCACGCCGCGGUGAAUACGUUCCCGGGUCUUG